GCUGCGGAGAAGGGCGAAGACGACGAUGGGAGCAGAAAUGGCGCGGGGGAAGGUGGGACGGAAGAAUCGUGGGCGUCCUAUCCAUCUAGAAUCCCGCUUAGCUCGUCGUCUCUGCAUCCGCUCCUAUCUAGAAUUCUGCAAGUGUUCUCCGAGUCGAACCUACUUCAUUCUGCUCCUGUCAACCCUACUUUGCAGCAAAGGUUUGGAAGAGUUGACCAUAAAUUCUCUCAUCAGAGAACUAAAUUAUGUCAUCAAUUGGAAUAAUUCAUUGAAAGAAAAAUGCUUCAGGAUACAUUUUCCACUAAACUAUCACAUAGUUUGUAAAGGUAAAUUGGUGAUGAUAUGAUUGCUCAGGGGAAUGGUUAAGUAGAUCAAGUGUGCUACAGUGAUGCUAAAGAAGAAAUACUUGUACUAAAUUCCAAGGAUUGUAAAUGUUCUUUUAGAGGAACUACGGCAGACUUUGACGCCGACCUGAACGUUGUAUUAAGUAUGUAGGUUCAUCAUACAGGAUUUUGAUUCAAGGGGUAGAAGGAGAGAAAGCACAGAUCACUCUAUUACAUUCGAUAAACGCUCGCUCCGCGCACGAAGAAUUGCCUGUUCAGUCGGAUCGCGAAAGCGAUGAAACCACAACUGGCGGUCAGCAGCAGCACAAGGAUUGUAAAUGUAGAAAGUUCACUUCUAAAUAUUAACCACCGUUGGAAAUAGUAUAUUACUUUGUUCAUUAGUUUCACGUGAAUUACACAAUGCCAUAUGGUAUAGAUACA